rnacentral:lncRNA from 1 species
AUGAUCGCAGAAAGACCAGCCGGCCGGAGGGGCCACCGUGAGGAAAGCCUGGGCCCUGGGACGCAGCAUUCUCCCCAGGCACCCACACAGCCUGAGUCCACACCACUGGACCCCACAAGAGGUGGUGGCCUCUGCACACCCCUAGGUCGGGCACUCCCCCUGCCUGCCAGCUGUUCGGUUGCUGCCCAGAUCCAGCCAGAUUCUGUGGCUCCCUCUGGGGUCCUCACACUCUCACCUCAGGGCCACUGGGGGACCCUGCCUGGUCCUGGGCUGCUCUGUGCAGCCCCUCCAGGCUCAGCUCUGGACCCUCACCACAUCCAGGCCAGCCGGUUCUGCCCCCGGGCCCUUGAGGCUGAACUGUCUGGGUGCUCCUUGGGUCCCCCCACCCCAGUGUGGCUGUGGGGACUGGACGUUCAGAGGGCUGCGCAGGAGCUGGGGCCUGGGCCUGGGGAGGGGCUUGCAGAGGGUGCCCAGAGUUUCCAGCCCCCCACCCCGUCUGGAGCUCCACCUGAAAAAUCCUGGUGCCCCCAUCAGUGGCCCUGGCAGCCCGUGUGCAAGGUGUCUGGGCGUGUGUGUGAGCGAACCUGGGAUGUGCAUCUCUGGGUGUGCUCGCGUCCCCUCAAGCUUGGCCCUGGCUGCAGCCCUCCUGGGGUCUUCUCCGCCUCUCUGUGCAGGGCAGACAGCCCAGUGACUGACCUGGGAGGGGAGGGACAGGGAGACCUCACGGACCCAGCCCCUCACCUGACAGGUGCAUCAACAGCCCAGAGAGAAGCCCUGCGGGGACCAGACUUGAGUGCUGGGGGGCCUCUCUGGCUCACCACCAUUUCUCAGCGCCCUGGUGGCAGGUGGCUGUGUGAGUGGAGCACGUGCGUCCUGUUCACGUGGCCCCAGGGGCGGCAGGAUGCCAGCAACCUGGAGCUCCCACUCUGGGGACAGCUGCCCCGGAGAGCCCCCUGGCCAGCUACAGACUUGGCAAGAACAAAACACCAAGGGCGGGCGUCAAGCCUCUGA